GCCUUUAGGAAGUGGAGCUUGGCUAGAAGAAACUCCGACAACAGUAGAUGCUUAAUAAAUGUCCAUGAACGCCGGAGCGACGACUGUACCGGAAGCACACCAUCACCAGGCUAUCCUGGAGAAUCAAGCUCAUAUCCAGGGUGAUGGCUCUGAAGGAAAUGGAAUCUCUUUGGUUUGCAAAGGGAGUAGCAAGACUAUUCGAGGCACACAGUUUCAAAACAACUGAUCCUCCUCAUAAAACCACGGAGCAGAGAUCCACGAGGAGUACACAUCCAGAAGAAAACACAAA